rnacentral:misc_RNA from 1 species
CCAAAACAUAGCUGUCUGGCCGCAAGGUCGUGACGCUUCAACCCUUUGUGAACCAAAAAACCUUUCGCUUCGGCAGCAGCCCGGUUGGAAACAACCUGGUUGUCAGCCUGCCGCUAGCACCAACCUUCAAAACUUGCAGUUGAACAAUGUCUGACAACCAAAUUUUCGAAUGAAAAUUA